CGUGGGCAAGCGCGGCCGGCGGAACUGGCUGGCCAUCCCGCCGCGGCCCUGACCCCUGGGGGUGCGCUGGCUGCCGGGGUCAGAUGCAUGCUGACCUUUCUCCGGAGGAAAGAUAAAUUAUUAUGGUUGUGGGUGAGCGUCAGUGCAAAUGUUUUCCCGAGUCCUCCUCCGGCUCCGGGUGCUGUUUGAAUCCCCCGCAUUCCUCAACCCUGGGCAAGGAGCGGCAGCGGCCUUUGUGUCUCCGGGGAGCGCAUGCCACCUAGGAGGAGACAGCGGACCAGAGUUAAAGAACAGGGAGGACAUUAGCGUGAGUUGUUCUUUGUUUUUUGGGUUUUUUUAUAAAUCUUUUAAAGCGUCCCAGUGAACCUAGAAACGUAAAACUUCAACAGCAAGUGUUGUGGGUUUUAUAGACGUCUGUUUCUUUGUCUUUUUCAUGCCCUCCUCCCUGCCAAAAAUAUUUGUUCGCUGGAGAGCAUAUCCCGAAAGAGCUAUUUACCCCCCAUUCAUCCAGGUAAAAUUGAUUCUGGCAUUCUCUGUGACCUGCUGGAAGGAAGAGCCUUCCUUCACCGAGGCUGAAAAGUGAUACGCCCUAUUUGACUCGGCCUCUUUCUGUUCGCUGUUGCCCUUUCCAGUGUGAAGAUGUGUUUUCUCUCUGCCAGUUGGAGAGAGAAGAGCAUCUGCCCCCCAUGCUUUGUCUGCUCUGCGACGGCCCUAACACAGCAGAGCUACAUAAGGACGCUUUUCAGCCCAGGAGCCCGGCGUUGAACUCGUGCCAUGGGGAAUGAAUUCUUCAAUAGACCCCUCGUCCCCUGCUGGAAGUUAAAGAGGGAUGGUUUGCAGGGAAGCAUAUGUGUGCAGAUGUGUCUUCCUGUCCUGGUGUUCCGUUUCUUUGUGUCUUUAAGUUCUCCUGCUUCUGUGUGGACUCGUUUUUUUAUUGCGAUGAGUUCCCUGGAGGCCGUGCAGCUCAGGACCCUCACCAGUCUACACACACACACACACACACACACACACACACACACACACACAAAAUGUAGCUCCUACUGAUAGCAGCAGUGUAAACUGAUUCUGGCAGUUAAGAGCUUUAUUCCUGCCGACCGAUGACUGGCUCUUACAGAAUUAGUUUGCAAAGCUAGCAAUUAGAUAACUAAUGUCCGUGGUACUGUGUUGCUAAAGGGAAAAUCCAGUAUUGCUAGAAAUCAAGUAUGGACUCCGCAGAGUUGUUUUUAUGGGGAGUGUGUGUGUGUGUGUGUGUGUGUGUGUGAUGCGUGCACAUAGACAAACUGCUGUACAAUGGAGGGUUACAGAUGGCUCUAAGUCACUGUCAGUUAUCAUUGGAUUCUGGUUUACUUAAAGGCUCCAUCUAUAUCAUCUUGAGCAGUGAAUUGGUUCCCAAACUAUAAUUUAUAGUAACUCAUUAGUUUAUUGAUAAAGGCUUAAAAGCAAUUUGAAAUAUACAGAAUACCUGUGAUUCUCAGUCACAAAUGCUCUAAGAACUAUUUUGUGUUUAGCCAAAAAAAAAAAAAAAUUUAGGUUGAGCCAUUCCUCCAGUAAUUGUCAUUGAGACACAAGGAUAAGUGGGGAGUGGUUGCCCAGGCCUCUGCUCCAAGAAUAGGGAUGUGGGGUAGGAAGAUCAGGACUUAUAUAAGUUCAAGAAAAAGGCACCAAAAUAAUACUCUGAAUCAUGUGUUGUGAUAUCCCAUGUAAGAAUAAACAGAUAUGGCCAGUCAUGAUAGUAAUAAUCCAUAACCUGAAUAUGAGGGGACAGGGACUUAGGCUGGAAAAUUGCAAAUUCUUAGGCAACUUAGGAAAAGCAUGUCUCAAAAUCAGGGCUUACUGAGGCUGUGGUUGAGUGGUACUGAGGUUCCUAACACUCCAGACCCUGGGUUCUGUCACCAGUAUCAGAAAAAGAAUUGCACAUAAAGAAAGUCAAAUGAUGUGUAAAAAUAAAAUCAUGAUCCCUUUUGGUUCAUAGCACGAUCACUGGUCAUGCAUGAUGGCGUGAUAUAGAAAAGAAGGAAGAAAAGCCCAAGAUUCUAUGAGUUCUGUUAACCACAUCCGUACAGAAACAGAAUCAGUGAAGGAUGAUUGUGCCGACGCCAGAGAAGGCUGCCCUGGAUGAGGCUGACUUUAUAAUCUGCUGAUCGGUUUUGAAAUUUGUUUCUACUUUAUAUUUAGCUCCCAAUUUUCCCUUCUAAAGGUGUUAAAAUAGCUAUAUACUAAAGAAUAAGAACCAUCCGUACUAAUUUUUAUUAAAUUUCUAACCAAAUUUUAGCUUUUUGUUUUGUUUUUCUUUCUUUUUUAACAGGCUCAUGUAUCUCAGGCUGGCCUUGUCUUUGCUAGUAGUCGAAGAUGACCUUGACCGUCUGACCUCCUCCCUUAGUACCUCCAGAGUAGUAAGACUGUGGGGGGGUGUCACCACCUCCAGCUUAUUAGGUACUGGGGGUUUGAACACUUGGCUUUCUUUAUGCCUGGCAAGUCCUCUACCAACUGAACUACAUCCCUAGACCUUUCAAUUUUAUUUUUAAUAAAGUACUUUUUAAAACAAAAUUCUACAACCAACAAUAUGCAGUAAACCUUUUUCUGCCUCAGUUCGCACAAGUCCCAGAAAAUAAGUAGAACCAGGAACAAGAUUAAUGCAUCUGAGAAAAGCAAACGACUCAAACAGAGCAACUAAGUUUCAUGACCAGCAGAUCACUCGGCUACCAGUAACUUCCAUACUUUGGCAAGUCUCGGUAUGAAACCUAGCAAGCACUAGGCCCUGGGUGACCUGAAACUCAAACUCACCAUGAAGACAAGACCCACCUCCAAUUCUCAGAGCUCUGCCUGCCUCUGCAUCCUGCACAUGAGGAUUGAAGGCCACGAGAAGUGGGAACUUGACUCUGGCCUUCUGUUACAAUGGUGUUAUGAACGUGUGCCCUGAAACACUCCGCCACACACAUCUGUCCUAGACAUGCACCAAGAAUGAAGAGGAAAUGUGGGUGUCGAAUAAUGGGAGCAGCCGGGACGUGGCUGACCAUCCCUUUCUGAAAGGGCAUACAAGAUGGCAAGAAGGGGCUGACGAUGGAGUCCUACUGGACACUGGGACAUUGCAAAAGGGAAUGCUGGCUAAGCGUGCUGGGAAGGAGAAAGCUACUGCAAGUACAGCAUGCAGGUGUGACUUGCAUCAUCAGGAGAGAAGCCACCAAUACAGCCUUCUUACCGGUAACUAUGCUAGCCCAUCAAGUGGAUGAAUCGGCUUCAUCCACCCAUGCCAACAGUAUGUUCCCUUAGUCACGGCCCUUCCUAGCAAGAGAGAAACUGAGCAAAGAGACUGCUGAGAGUCAUAUAAGCUACCAAACCAGAAAUUCCUAAAGUGCAUGAAGAGAUUGUCAGAAGACCAUCACAAUCAACAAUCUAGAGAGACAUUCACUCCAGAGGAAUAAGACUAAUAUGCUGAAAAGAGCUUAAAAAUAAACGUUUUAGGAAUCUUAAAGAAAUGCAUGAAGCCGGGCAAUAGUGGCGCACGCCUUUCAUCCCAGCACUUGGGAGGCAGAGGCCAGUCUGGUCUACAAAGUGAGUUCCAGGGCUGAACUGUUACAGAGAAACCCUGCCAUGAAAACCUAACAAAAAGAAAGAUACACAAAAAGGUACCAUGGAGAGGGCUAAGAAAUGAUAAAGUAAAGAAGGAAAGCUGAGAAUAGUGGGGCAUGCUUGUGUCUCUAGCUCUCAGGAGCAUAAGGAGUAUGAGAUCAAGGCCAGGGGCUACAUAGAGAGACUUUGUCUCAAAAACAAGCGAAUUGUAUAUGAUAUGUAUAUGAUUUCAAAUGCCUUAAAUCUAACAAUUAUACCUUCAACAUAAUCCAAAGCAUAGCACAUGAGACUCUCAGGAAGAGGCCAGCAAUCUGAGUUUCAAGUCUCCCUAAGUGAGUCUGAGGUGGGUGGGCAUGGAGAAUCAACAGCCAAAAUGAAUUUUCAGAUUACAUCUGACCUUGAGAGUUUCCAAGGUCACACGUUUCCUUCUGCUCAGGUGAGCCUGUCUCCACUCCAGCACUGAACAUGCACACACGUGAUCAGGUGCAGCACUAGCCCACAGCCACAAUUCCCAGGUUUGCGAUCUACCUCUGACACCCUAGGACUAUAAACAGUUUCCUCACGCAGAGAUAAAGGAGGAAGACAGGCAUUAACUGCCCUCCUGAGCUGCUACAAGGUCAAAUCCGAGGAAGGUUUGCAGAUUGUUUUCCAAGUAUCUGUUUGAGAUAAGACACUAAUAAGUAUCAGUUCUAGAUUUAAACCUUGACCGCUUGAGGGAAAACUGCGUACAAGCACCACAUAGAAAAGAGGAAAAUCAUUAAAUUUUACCUUAUACAUCUUUUCAUUUUAAUUACUAGAAGGCACUGCAUUGGAACUGCCAUUUGUUGAGAAGAUUGCCGUAAAGUUCUGAAGUCUUUGCAGGACUUUAAACUGUAGGAAGCUGUAAUAUCUUGCUGUGUUCUUUUGUGCUUUGGAAAGGAGUGGGCUGUGUUAUCCUAAUUGUUUUCUUUCCAGUAAGUUUAAUGAAUUUGACACAUUAUGUAUUGUACCUUUUUAAGCUGUGCAUUCUCACCUAUCCUUACCAAAUGCCAUGUUCCUGCAGCCCCUACUCUGAGCUCCUGGGCUCCUUGCCAAACCUUCCUUUCCUCUGCUGCCACUUGCUCUCAACGCUUGAUUCAGAGGCUCAUCUCUGACCCUGGCGUUACCCUGAACACUCCCUUCUUGCUCAUAGUCCACCCUUUUGUCUAAUCCUAGCAGCUCUUCCUGUUUCACCCUCACUGCAAACCAAGCCUCCUCAGACACUGCUCUGGGCAUGUCCCAUUUGUGAUCACCUCAAAGACCCCUAGCAUCAAAGACAACUCUGCAGCUAUUUUGGCAGCUUCAAUCUCGGACGAUUUCAUGUGUGAAUCCUCAGCAGAAGGUUUGUCUCCCCAAUAUGAGUGAGCAUGCUUCCACUCCCUCACAUCUCCAGCUUCAUCCCUCCACUCCUCUCUAGGUCCAAGCCCCUUGUCAAUCACCGGAUGGAAUCCCGACCUUCUCUGUUGUUUACGAGUUUCGUCUCUGCAUUGCUGAGCUCACAGGAUUUCUCUUUCCACCCUGUACAAUAAGCAUGGCCACAUGACUUGUUUAGUCAAUGAGCCAUGAAGAACUGGUGUGUCACUUCUGAUGUGAGUGGCACACUGCUCUGUCUUUCCUUGCUACAGUGACUGGGGAGAGACAUGAAUGACUGGAGAUGCCACAAUGCCCGGGACCUAGGGCUCAGCCACAGUCACGGCACAAUGGCUCUGGAGGGCCAACAAGUCCCCACAGUGUUAUUUACGAAAAUUAGCCCAGAACUGGAUUUGAGGUUCCUUCUUAGAACAAGAUAAUGUGGCACAUCUCAACUCAGAUAUGUCCACAGACCCCACCAAAGUAUUCUCUGCCACUCAAAAGCUCCUGUCAGCCCAUCCUGCAGACCCCCGGGGCUCUUUGUCACUUCUUCUUGGAAAACAUAUCUCAAAAUAAUAAAAACCAAUUUGGUUUUAGA